rnacentral:sRNA from 1 species
GCUGGGCAUGAUGGUGCAUGCCUGUAAUCCCAGAAGCUCAGGAGGCUGAGGCAGGAGGAGAGAGUUCAAAGCCAGCCUCAGCAAAAGCAAGGCGCUAAGCACCUCAGUGAGACCCUGUCUCUA